UACGUAGGGUGCAAGCGUUGUCCGGAAUUACUGGGCGUAAAGAGUUCGUAGGCGGUUUGUCGCGUUGUUCGUGAAAACUCACAGCUUAACUGUGGGCGUGCGGGCGAUACGGGCAGACUGGAGUACUGCAGGGGAGACUGGAAUUCCUGGUGUAGCGGUGGAAUGCGCAGAUAUCAGGAGGAACACCGGUGGCGAAGGCGGGUCUCUGGGCAGUAACUGACGCUGAGGAGCGAAAGCG
rnacentral:rRNA from 1 species